UGGGUAUUAAUACAAAUAUUUAUCAACAUGUUUAACAAAUUUUAAAUUUGAGCACCAGUCAUUGAAAUUCUUCAAUAGAAUGAAUACUUUCUAAAUAUCAGAAGUUCUGGUCUUAUAAUAUUAUCCGGGAAAAUCAGGGUAUAAUGGUUUUGUAAGAAUAUAUGAUGUAGGGAGAAGGCGCUGCGGUAUAGUAUAUAUAUUCUUGAUCAGGGCGGCGAGCUGUGCUUGAAAUUUGUGUUGAGUGUAAAGCUUGGCACUUGAUUUUUGCAAUAGUUCUGUAUUGACCAUGGGAUUCAUGCCCACUUGAACGAUAAGGCUUUGGAAUAACCCAAGCCAUAUGAACAAAGAAAACGUCAGUUUCUAUCAAUUGAUUGUUAGUAGGCAAACAAGUUUUGUCAACAAUUCCAAAAUUAAGAAUUCCUGAAAAUUUACAUUUAAA